CGCCUACGGGGGGCAGCAGUGGGGAAUAUUGCACAAUGGGGGAAACCCUGAUGCAGCAACGCCGCGUGAAGGAAGACGGUUUUCGGAUUGUAACCUUCUGUUCUUAGUGAAGAAGAAUGACGGUAGCUAAGGAGCAAGCCACGGCUAACUACGUGCCAGCAGCCGCGGUAAUACGUAGGUGGCAAGCGUUGUCCGGAAUUACUGGGUGUAAAGGGAGCGUAGGCGGUUAUGCAAGUUGAAUGUUAAAUCUAUCGGCUCAACUGAUAGGCUGCGUUCAAAACUGUAUAUCUUGUGUGAAGUAGAGG
rnacentral:rRNA from 1 species